AGUCACUUCCGGGGAAGAUCGGAAGUUGCUUUGUUUUGCUUCAAGAUGGCUGCUGGGAUGUAUUUGGAACAUUAUCUGGACAGUAUUGAAAACCUCCCGUUUGAAUUACAGAGAAACUUUCAGCUCAUGAGGGACCUAGACCAAAGGACAGAGGACCUGAAGGCUGAAAUUGACAAGUUGGCCACUGAAUAUAUGAGUAGCGCCCGCAGCCUGAGCUCCGAGGAGAAGCUGGCCCUUCUCAGACAGAUCCAGGAGGCCUAUGGCAAGUGCAAGGAAUUUGGUGACGACAAGGUGCAGCUGGCCAUGCAGACCUAUGAGAUGGUAGACAAACACAUUCGGCGGCUGGACACAGACCUGGCUCGUUUUGAGGCUGAUCUGAAGGAGAAACAGAUCGAGUCCAGUGACUAUGACAGCUCUUCUAGCAAAGGCAAAAAGAGCCGGACCCAAAAGGAGAAAAAAGCUGCCAGAGCCCGUUCCAAAGGGAAAAACUCAGAUGAAGAAGCCCCCAAGGCUGCCCAGAAGAAGUUAAAACUUGUGCGCACGUGAGUAUACCAGAGGACGCCCGCCUCCCAGCCAGCCUCGUGCCACUUUCCCUGUCUUCUGUGCCAGUAACUCUGUCACUGUGGUGUCUGCUGGACGGAGAGGAAGCCACACAUCACUUGCCUCACCACGAUCUUCUACCACCUCAGAGCGCAGGUUGUAGCUUCCCUUCCUGCGGAUGACAUUUGUCUUCCUCUUGGCAUACAGAAGUCCUGAGUAUGGGAUGCCCUCAGUGACCUUUGGCAGUGUCCACCCCUCUGAUGUGUUGGAUAUGCCUGUGGAUCCCAACGAACCCACAUAUUGCCUUUGUCACCAGGUCUCCUAUGGAGAGAUGAUUGGCUGUGACAACCCGGAUUGUUCCAUCGAGUGGUUCCACUUCGCCUGUGUGGGGCUGACAACCAAACCUCGAGGGAAAUGGUUUUGCCCACGCUGCUCCCAAGAACGGAAGAAGAAAUAGGUUUCCCUGGAUUCCAUUACAGACUUCUGCAUCCCCCUGACCUGGGCUAGUGGACAGAGUGGAAGGCCUGUGCUGGGGACGGGGGGCCCAGGGAGAUGUGGACAGUGCGGUACCGUCAUCCCUCUCCCUCCUCCCCACUCGGUGCUGAGGCUGCAUCCAAACCCCAGUAGGGAGGGUGCCGCAGCCAGUGACGGUAUGUGCUCUCCUCCCGCCUCUCCCAGAGGGAAGUAAUCUCACUCACUGUCCUUUUGCCUCCUUGGUGAGGUUGGUGCUGUAUUUCAGAGGGAGGGUCCUCUUCAUUCCCCUUGCUUUGACUUAAGGACUGGGGCAGUGGAGUGGGGCACUUUCCCAGUCCCCUCACUCCUCCUUCCCCCAUUGGGAGCUAGGCAGGACAGACUGCCUUCUCUGCACUCUUCCUGUUCUCCAUGGGGAGGGGUCUUCUGGGUCAUUUGGGCAGUGGCCUAGUUAAGUGGUUACCCCAACCUCUAUGGCCCGGGGAUUUAUGCUGACUCUGAAUGGGAGAGGGGCAAGGUAGACCGCAGGUUACUCACAUGUAAAAGGAGUUGGGGUAGGUAAAUAAAAGCUAUCCAUGCUAGCCUGCUGUGUUUAUUGUAGAGACUGUUUAAGUAUAUGUGGUAAGCAUUCUUUUCGCAUCCUCUGGAUUGGAUGAGAGGCAGGAAGAUGGCUUGCCAGAAAUAGGACAAGACAUAAAACCCAAAAUGGUCCUGUCCUGUGGUGUCCACAGCUUCUCCACCUGGAGGAGUGCCUUGCAUCGGGGGACUCAGAAUUUUGUAAUUACGAAUCUCCUCUCCGUGAAACACCUUUAACCCAAUUCCAAUAAAUCAUGUAUUUGCUUUAUAUGUGUGUGCGGUGAUAGUAUUAGCUUGAUUUCUUCUAAAUACAAAAUAGAUACAAACAGGUAUUUUCUCCCCAUCUCCCUAUGAGUUGUGUUGGUCCCCUCCCUCUUGAAACGGUAUCCCUUGGACCACUGAACCAUCCUUUCAUGUGUGCUCGCCUUGGUCAGCCCUGCUUCAUUUUAACUUUGGGCCUGUUUCCUACGGAAGAGGUGUCCUCCCUAGUUCCUACCCCUCCCUGCCUUCCUUUCAGACAUCCAGCUCUGCUGCCCACAGUGCUGCCUAUACUCAACAGCCAGGUCUCCACAAAACCGCGGAUGUUGCUUCACAAAACCCACCAUCUUUAUCUGAAGAAGGGGUCAUAGUACACACCUCCUGGGUCUAGGGGUUAAGUGGCAGGAAGUAGCGCGCAGACCCGGGGUUACAGCUAGGAGAAAUUAGGAGCAGGAUUUUAGGUUCACUUCCCGGCAACACAAAAAUAAAUUCGAAAAAAGUGGUACCGAGCAAUAGAGGUCCUACGCUGUUGAAGACCGACUGGAAGGGCUGCUGUAGCCUGUGGCUCCUGACAUGGUCCCCCUUGUCCUUGGCCUGCUACUGGUGCAGCUCAGAGGAGUUCACCUCGUGGCCUGGCCCCGCCCUCACCUUCUGUGACGUAGCAGCCGCGCCUCCUGCCUUCUUCGUGCUAGCAGCGAGGCUCGGCCCGUUGGAGGUCGCUUUGUUGUGAAAACGCGGGUGGAUCUUCCCAGGCCAUGAUGAAUCUAGCUGCUGGCUUCCUUCUGAUGCUUCUGGAAGGUGAGAGGCUACGCUUGGCCCAUUUGGAAGCUGCUGUGGUCUGAAAGCGCAGGUGGAUCUUCCCUGGGGCUCCCUUAUGCUCCUGAAGGGCCCUGAGCCCCCUCCCUUUUUUUUAAUGGGUUUUGAGACAGCUGUCUCCAGGUGGUUGAGUUGUACCUGAUCCGAGCUUGGUUGGUUUUUUAUCUAUUGUCCCUUGAAGCCUUCCACUGUAGUCAUCAGGCAUCACCCAAGACACACACACACACACACACACACACUCCAGUUCUUAGUUCAUUGUCGGGGAGUGGGAGGGUCUACUUCUAGUCUGGGUCUGGCCACUGGACCCCAAGUGCAUUGUGGGUUAAGGUCCAUUCUUGUCUGUCCCCCUACCCUGCAGUGCUGCUCCUGCCUGGAACACCUCUUUCCGCUGAGGAAUCUCCAGCCUCCACUCCAGGCAGCCCUCUCUCGUCCACUGAGUAUGAACGCUUCUUCGCCCUGCUGACCCCAACCUGGAAGGCAGAGACCACCUGCCGCCUCCGUGCCACCCACGGCUGCCGGAACCCCACUCUCGUUCAGUUGGAUCAAUAUGAAAACCACGGAUUGGUACCAGAUGGUGCUGUCUGCUCCGAUCUCCCUUAUGCUUCCUGGUUUGAGUCCUUCUGCCAGUUUGCUCAGUAUCGUUGCUCCAACCAUGUCUACUAUGCCAAGGUGAGACCUCCCAGAGUGGGGACCGCAGUUCCCAGCCCUAGCUUGGCAGCUUGCAAGUCUGUAACUCCAGUCCUGGGAGAUCCAACGCCCCCUUCUGGCCUCCACAAGCACUGCAUGAAUCCAGGCAAAACACCUAUACACAUAAAAUAAAAAAAAAAAAGCCCUCUGGGCCUUUUGUAAAU
ensembl:processed_transcript Gm44597 predicted gene 44597